AGUCCAGUUUGAGAAAUGACAAUAAAGCAAAUAGUGGAAUUUAUUGUAACUCUGUGUUUGGCUGUGUGUCAACAAUGCUCGGCGACUGUGUGUAUUUAAGAUUGCAACACUGGAAUGGUGGGGAUUAAAUAGGUCAACACAAAUAGCAGACAGACACCGUGGCAGGCUGGCAGACGGUGCAGUCCGUGCAGGAAGUCCGUCCGAUAUACACGAGCGCUAGCCUUGCCUAAGCCCCACUCCAUGCACAAACUGCCUCCUCGCCCGAAAGGUGACUGACAUCGGUGAGUGGCAAGUGUGGUGAGAAGACAAACACACAAACCACGACGCAUACCUGUUGUUGUAUGUGGAAAAAUCUAUUAAAUUAGGCUAUAUCAACUGAUAGCGCGCAAAGCCGAAAGCCAGCUGAGUCAGAGCUGCAAAGUGAAUUUUAUAUUUAUUUAUUAUUAUGACACACACACACAUACAUACACAAAUACAAACAAAUAUGCAUAAAUACGCGCUUUCAUAAUUAUUUGUACACCUCUAAGUAUUACUUUGUGUCUGUGUCUCUGCCUGCUUGCCUGCAGUCGCGUAUACUCGCGUAGAAUUGGAGUGGAGGCAAACAAACACUCAGUCCGCCGUCGUCAAAGUUUAAGAUAAGAUUGAAGCGCACACUGAUAAGCCCGAUAGUCGGUUCUAAACGUUAAAUGAUGUGGCAUUGAUUCACAUACAAACACACAUCACCAGGUAUAUAUAGUGAACUAUAUAUAUAUACGCGUUAGUUUGAUCAAGUGUACGAGUACCGAGCAGGUGAAGUGAUACUUAACGUUAUAGAGUUAUGAGGUGGUGGGGAUUUAUGACGAAAUACUACCAUUAUUACAACACAAGAACGCAAAUCACGUACGCAGGGCUUCGGAUGAGCGGUAGUCGGAUAGUGACUAUAGCGACGACGUUGGAGUUUACCUCGAGCAGCGCCGUUUAAAGCUGAUUGCGUCGCAAAGCCAAAAGUAGAAAGCGCUGAAGAGCGUAUUGCUUAAUUAUAUAUCAAAGCGAUUUUAAUCUAUCGAAGUGAGCGCGUUACUUCUAUUUUUAUUUUUUUAGAUAUCUCGUUGCCGGAAAUACCACGAAGGGGUUUAUAUUGGCUUGAUGUUACAUGGAAUAUGACUGGAGGCGAGUAUUCGAUAAUUGUGUCGAUUAUUAAUUUGGCACAAAUCUACGUCUCGGAAACGACUAACGACUAUUUUCUUACACAAAAAACACAUGAUUACCACUCGAAUGAUCUUGAACUUAAAUUCUCAAAGAGUAAAAAGCGGUUUCUAAGAGCGAUUGAACUCUAAAUCUCAACAGCGUUUCGGAGACGACUAACAACUGUUUUCUAAUUCAACAAAUGAAUGAUCAAUACUCAAUGAUCAAUACUCAAAUGAUCCUGAAUACCAACUGACAAAAAGAUACAAAUGGUUUCUAAGAGAGAUCGAGCUUCAAGGAGCUAUUUACAAACUCAGAAUGAAGUUCUCACAAAAAACACAUGAUUACCUUACACAAAAAACACAUGAUUACCACUCGAAUGAUCUUGAACUUAAAUUCUCAAAGAGUAAAAAGCGGUUUCUAAGAGCGAUUGAACUCUAAAUCUCAACAGCGUUUCGGAGACGACUAACAACUGUUUUCUAAUUCAACAAAUGAAUGAUCAAUACUCAAUGAUCAAUACUCAAAUGAUCCUGAAUACCAACUGACAAAAAGAUACAAAUGGUUUCUAAGAGCGAUCGAGCUUCAAGGAGCUAUUUACAAACUCAGAAUGAAGUUCUCACAUGAAACAGAAACGCAUAAGAAACGUAUCGGGAAUUCGGAAAGGUCUAAAAACUGUUUAUAGUAAGUGUCCUGCUUCAAUGAAAGUACAUGUAACAGAUACAGAUACAGAUCCUACCUCUGAUCUCACCGAAGAACGAUAAAUGAGCUUUAACAAUCAUUUCUAGCGGCUUUUGCGAGAUCAAAAAACAUUGUAUAUACAUAAAAAUUACAGUUAUGUUGAUUAUUGCCAAUCAGUAGUCCAGAGAAUUCAAUGAUUAAUCUAAAUUUUUAUUGAUCUUGUUAAUGAACUCAAUGAGGGAGUGUAAGAGCUUUCAAAGAGACAUUAGGUUUUUCUACCUAGAAUUUAUUUAAAGUGAUACUUUAUAUUAAUUAUGGAAUAUUCAAGUUUGUUAAAGCCUAAAGUAAUCGCUUUUAAACAUUUCCUGAGACACUAUGAAGCUUAAGCAAUCUUCAUGCUAACUUAGUACAAAUAUUAUUUAUGUAGUUCCAACUGAUUCCAUAUAUUAUAGAUAGCUGAUUGUUUAUAUGAAAUUCUUUCUUUGCUGACUCAAAAGAAUUUUCCAAGCGGAAAUACAAAUACGAAUCUCAUACGCUCUUGGUACCGAGAAAUCAGCUCAGUUUAUGUCAACACAUACACACACAUACAUAGCCAUAUAAAUGUGGCUAUAGAAAAUUUUCCGUAUAAAUAUACUAAGAAAAGCGCUUCAUAAGCUACAUUAAUGCGCUUCAAUAUACAUACAAACAAACAUACAUACAUAGAAAGAAGCGUGUAUGUAGACAGCGGCGAAGAAAAUGGGAAAUUUAUUUUUGGCCAAGCCAAAAUCAUAAACAAGAAAAGCCAAAGUGAGUAAAAGGGAUGGAAGAGCUCGAAUUUCUUACUGAGUUCAUAUGUAUGUAUAUUUGUAAUCAUGUGUGUGUGUGCUUUAAAAUAUAGAUAAACGCGAUCUUAGCCGAUGAGCGCUUGGUUGGAAACAGGCAGAGUGUAUUUAAAAAUAAAUGAAUAGUUCUUUAUGAAUUUGAGA